ACCAUUCAUUUACGAUCAAUUAAGGCUUCUGGAUUAUGACUGAAAUUGUCCUUGUUUGGACACCGAGUGGCUCCUGUCCACUCUGUUUGACGCCUCCCUGUUAUUAACUUUAGCCGCCGGCAACGGCGGCUUUUUUU
rnacentral:sRNA from 1 species